GCUGGGCGUGGUGGCUCACGCCUGUAAUCCCAGCACUUUGGGAGGCCGAGGCGGGUGGAUCACCUGAGGUCAGGAGUUCAAGACCAGCCUGACCAACAUGGAGAAACCCCGUCUCUA
rnacentral:SRP_RNA from 1 species